GGUGCGAUGGCCGAGUGGUUAAGGCGACAGACUUAAGUUACAAGAGUUCUGUUGACGAGAGUCGCGCGAGUUCGAACCUCGCUCGCAUCA